GACGAACGCUGGCGGCGUGCUUAACACAUGCAAGUCGAGCGGUAAGGCCCUUUCGGGGGUACACGAGCGGCGAACGGGUGAGUAACACGUGGGUGACCUGCCCUUAGCUCUGGGAUAAGCCUGGGAAACUGGGUCUAAUACCGGAUAUGACCUCAUGACUCAUGUUGUGGGGUGGAAAGCCUUGUGCGGCUAGGGAUGGGCCCGCGGCCUAUCAGCUUGUUGGUGGGGUAAUUGCCUACCAAGGCGACGACGGGUAGCCGGCCUGAGAGGGCGACCGGCCACACUGGGACUGAGACACGGCCCAGACUCCUACGGGAGGCAGCAGUGGGGAAUCUUGCGCAAUGGGCGAAAGCCUGACGCAGCGACGCCGCGUGAGGGAUGACGGCCUCGG
rnacentral:rRNA from 1 species